UAAUAUACGGAAAACAGACGCUAUGCGUCAUGGCGCUAAUAUACGGAAAACAGAGCUUUUUUUACAUGCUUUCAUUUUGAAAGUGAAGUUCCUGUAUAGACGCGGACUUACAGUUAUGAAUCUGUAACUUCACAAAGGAAAAGUUUGAUGUUUUAGCGACCCUCCGAAGAGGCACACGCUCUUACGGUGUUGUUUAGGGAAGUUUCAAAUAAACCUGAAAACAUCAGUUGAAAGUCUCGACCAUCUUUCGGAGAUAUGCUACAGGUGGGACAGAGCGAUUGAGUCACCGGCUGAGCUUGUGGUGGAGCCUCCCCUCUGCACACUUGGAUCUGCAGAGCUGUGUACACUCACUCAUCCUUCCUCCGUCUGCUCGGUGCCUGUGAUUCCUCUGAGCCAUGAGGCAGACUCCAACAAUCAGAAGCCUUCUCUUUU